UUUGUGUGAACAGUGGUUGAUCACGAGUUAGUCGGUCCUAAGUUCAAGGCGAAAGCCGAAAAUUUUCAAGUAAAAAUUAAGUAAUUAUGUACCAAUAUAUAUUCAAUUAUAUAUGCAAAUAAAUGUUAAUAUUUUAUACACUUGAAUAAUUUUGAACGAAAGGGAAUACGGUUCCAAUUCCGUAACCUGUUGAGUAUCCGUUUGUUAUUAAAUAUGGGCCUCGUGCUCAUCCUGGUAACAGGAACGACCAUAAAGAAGCCGUCGAGAGAUAUCGGAAGAGUUUUCUUUUCUGUUUUAUAGCCGUACUACCAUGGAAGUCUUUCGCAGAGAGAUAUGGUAGAUGGGCUAGAAGAGCAUGACAUAUACUGUUGUGUCGAUAUUUUCUCCUCGGACCUUGAAAAUUUAUGGUGGGGAUACGCAAACUUCUCAACAGGCCGUACCAAUAUCCGCAGCUGGUCUCCAAGGUGAAGAGUCUCUAGUCGAUAGAAUA
rnacentral:rRNA from 1 species